GGCAUCUAUAGCUUAAUUGGUAGAGCGUCGGUUUGUGACAUCGUUUGCAUGGGUUCAAUUCCCGUUAGUUGCC
rnacentral:tRNA from 1 species